UAUGUCUGAGAACAGAGGACAGAGCCUCAGA
rnacentral:piRNA from 1 species